AGCCUGAUGCAGCCAUGCCGCGUGUAGUGAGAAGGCCUUCGGGUUGUAAAGCUCUUUUGUCGGGGAAGAAAGGGUGGUGGUUAAUACCUUUGCUCAUUGACGUUACCCGCAGAAUAAGCACCGGCUAACUACGUGCCAGCACCGCGGUAAUACA
rnacentral:rRNA from 1 species